UUUAAAACUUUUUUUAUUGUUCAACAUUUGUAUUUGUUUAUUCUAGAUGGAUUGGAAAAUGUAAUUAAAACCGUUGUUUUACAAGAUGUUACAAUAGGCCAAUUCAAUCUGAUGUUCGUUUUACCGGAGCUUUAUGAUCCUAACUAUAUACGGCAAGCCGAACACCUACAGAAAAUAUUGGUUG